AGCAGUGGUGACUUCUGACCAGGGGUCUGCACUGCGCACCCAUGAUCGGGACAAAUCCGUGAGCUCAGGAACAGGCUCGCUGGAAGAAGAUGCGAGAGGAAGUUACUUGGAAUCGCAGCUGACAUCAGCGUACUACUCACCACGGGGACACGGGGACUGUUAGAAGCCACGAGCGACAUCCCAUACUUCCGUGGAAGAGAGUCCCGAGGCUGCCCUGGGCCUACCGCUGCAUGGCCGCAGGCAAGCUCCUUAGCUUCUCUGAGGCUCACUGUCAUCCUCUGCAGAACGGGACCUUGCAGUGGCGCAGUGACAGAGGCCACCUCCUCACAGAGGUGCUCGGCAGUGCUCCGGUCGUGGAGGGCAAGGAUCCCAGCACCCAUAGCAUGACCCCGAACCCAAGUGCUGCACCAGGCAUCGUGACUUCCGGUCCCUCCUGACCUCCCCACGAGUCACUAUCCUUAUGCGCUAAAUAAACAGGCUGCAUUUGA